rnacentral:misc_RNA from 1 species
CUCUUGGCAUGGCGCUGCUUGAAACGGGCAUGGCCUGGUUCUGGCCUGAUAGCCGGGUUCGCAAAUGGUUUGAUGUGGACGGGCUGGACAACCUUACCCGUGCGCAGGCGCAAAAUCGCGGCGUAAUGGUCGUUGGCGUGCAUUUUAUGUCGCUGGAAUUGGGAGGCCGGGUAAUGGGUCUCUGCCAGCCGAUGAUGGCGACCUAUCGUCCGCAUAACAAUCCGCUCAUGGAGUGGGUGCAGACGCGCGGUCGUAUGCGCUCAAAUAAAGCGAUGAUCGGCAGAAACAAUCUGCGCGGCAUUGUGGGCGCGCUAAAAAAAGGGGAAGCCGUUUGGUUUGCUCCCGACCAGGACUA